rnacentral:lncRNA from 1 species
GGGCUAUGUGAUCAUCCUGGAGCCCACUCUGCUAACAAUUAGCAGAACGGAAGCCUUAAUUUCCAGAAUCUAGUGAACUUGAUGAGUCAAGACCAUUGCAAUUGGAAAUCUGUUCUCCUCUGCUGCUGCAUCCCCCGCUUAAUACUCAAGCCAGAAACCAGGAAGGCUGUGGCUUGCCUUUUCACUUCUUGUGUCCUGUUUAAGAAAUAUCUGCUAUCCCAAGAUAACACUAACAAAGUUGACCUUAGAAUUGGAGUGCCCGGGUUAGAACCUUGCUGGUACCACCUGCUUACUGCAUGCUUCUGAUGUGAGUUCAGGAGAAGCCACUGGCAAGGACAGCAAAGAACAGGAGAACACUCUAGCUUCCCUGAUAGCAUUCAAGGUGCUGUCCAAACUGACUGUGAUGGCACCCUCCAGACAGACAGCGAUGCCACAUGUUCAAGAUGGCAGAAUCACUAACAGCUUCAAUUCCUGAAUGACUGCAGAGCAAAAUUUCUUACCCGCAACAUACACUCUAUUUUCAGCCUCCCUGGACUGUUACAUAAUGAUACAUAAAAAUAUUUCUUGUGUUGAGGCAUCCCAAAUUUGAUCUAUUUGUCAUCACAGUUUAUCCUACGAAUAUAUUUCUGAUCCAAAUAAUGCUAGAUUCAUGAGAGUUUAUAGUCCAGAGAUUUUUUUUUUUUUUUUUUUUUGAGACAGAAUCUCACUGUCUGCCAGGCUGGGGUGCAGUGGCAUAAUCUUAGCUCACUGCAACCUCCGCCUCCUGGGCUCAAGUGAUCCUCCCUCCUUAGCCUCCAUGAAUAGCUGGGACCACAGGUGUGCACCACCCCACCCAGCUAAUUAUUUUGUAUUUUUUGCAGAGACGGGGUUUCACCACAUUGCCCAAGCUGGUCUCAAACUCCUAGACUUAAGGGAUCUUCCCGCCUUGGCCUCCCAAAAUGCUGAAAUUACAUGUGUUAGCCAUAGUAAUAGUUCCUAGCCAUAGUCCAGAGAUAUUUUAAAAACUUUAGUGUGAGUUAUUUCUCUUUGCUAUAAUUCUCUCAUGCAUUUUGAAAACCUUUUCUGCCAUACAGUGGUUUUUGGGAAGUCCUUUUGGACAGACAUAUCACAGGAUGGAGAAACUAAAAAGAGAGAGAAUGCAUUAAAGAAAAAAUAGUACUUCAUAUUUCAGAAAUUACAAAAGGUUGUCAUGCCCCACAGCAUGGUGGGCAGUCAUUUGUAACCCACAGAACAUUGAGUUUCUAAAAUUUGAGUGUUUUUUAACUUACGAAGGCCAACUUUACUGAUGAAGUGGUUACCCCAAAUAUGUGAAAUCCAUAUUUCAAGCACAAUAGCAGGAAAUCGGAAAUGGGUAGGUAUAUUUCUGACUGUCAAAGAGUACAAAGUAAAGAGGGGCCCCUGAAGAGUGACACUACUGGAAAAACAGAA